rnacentral:rRNA from 1 species
CCCUACGGGGCGCACCAGGCUUGGCAUAUAGAAUGACACUCUGUAUUUCAGAAUCGACUUGUGCCGCCGAAACUAAUCCCCAUUGAAGAUUCACAAGUAGCAAUGAUGCAAUUGCUAGAACUCGUAUGAAUGCACUUUUCUUAAGCCUGAAAACCCCUUUCUUCCAAAAAAAACUAAGAACAGAAACAUUUAGUACUUGUCUCAAGACUUUAUUCAGUAUAAACCAUGUUAUGAAAAUUAAAAAAAACUCUCUCUGUGAAUAAGCGCGGUUUAUCCACCUGGCGGAGGAGAAAAUCCUGCGCCGAUAGUCUUUUGUCGUAAAGGAAUUGGCGGGAGGGC